AGCCCCGAGGUGUUAUACACGUCAGAUUGCAAAUCUGAAAUGGCAGACUAACCCCUGCCGGGGCUU
rnacentral:tRNA from 1 species